CGGACGGGUGAGUAACGCGUGGGUAACCUGCCUCAUACAGGGGGAUAGCAGCUGGAAACGGCUGGUAAUACCGCAUAAGCGCACAGUACCACAUGGUACAGUGUGAAAAACUCCGGUGGUAUGAGAUGGACCCGCGUCUGAUUAGCUAGUUGGCGGGGUAACGGCCCACCAAGGCGACGAUCCAUAGCCGACCUGAGAGGGUGACCGGCCACAUUGGGACUGAGACACGGCCCAA
rnacentral:rRNA from 1 species